AGUCCUGGAAACGGGGAUACUGAGAUGGAGAGGCUUGAGCGCUGCCGCAAAGGAAAAACCAGACGCAGACACGAGAAAUUCUGUGCUGUCUGGGACGCAGGAGGAGGAGAGUCCUCGUCACUGGGAGCCCAGCUCCGCCGCUCCUGCCCGGAUGCUCGGUGGUCCGCAGAAAGCUCCCUUCUUAGUCGCUGACUCAGGACUAUGAUGGCAGUGGCACUCAGAGGUGGCUUAAUUCGUCUUUUGCUCGCAGAUCUCUUAGCCACCCUUCCCUGCCCGCUCUGUGAUGUACAGAAUGCGGACACACUCACUCCCUGUACAAAUGGUACCUGCUGGAGCUCAGCCAGUUGAAGCCAACGAUGGAAACUGCAAAUUCUCGGCUUCAGCCUCUAACAAGCCGAGACUCUCAACACCUCAGCUCUCAGCCCAUUCUUAGCUCCAGCCUAUUUUGUACCACCCACACAGAUGAUGCUCCAUCAGAAGGUCUAGAAUAAGGCCAUAGUGACUAACGUCAGUCAUUCCUCGUGUUUCUUCCACCCUGGGGCCAGUAGCUAACCUUCAGGCUACACCAGAAGAGAGGGAGACUCGCCUGCGCCUUUUGGAACCUAAGGUGUUGCACCUGGGCUCACCCUACCUGAGGAGGUUCAGCUAUGCAUCAUUCUGCCUGCUUCAUACAGGUGGCUGAGGCUGGAGGCGGAUGCUCGGAGCACUGAUCCAUCCAUUAGCUGGCCUGUGCUGCCCUCUGCCGGCCAGUGGGGUUUAACAGCCACCCUAAGCCGAGAGACCUGGAAUUGGAGCCAGCUGACUGCUUUGAGAGAAAACCUGUUAGGAAUGGACUUUUGAGGGCGUUCCCUUUCCUGUGCAAGUGAGUUUUGGUCCUACAGAGGAAGGGUAAAGCUGGGAAAGUGGCUUGUUUUCAUAAAGUCUGUGAGGCGCUUCCACUCAGGUGCCGAAAGGGAGAUCAGGAGGUAGCAGUGUCCCGAGAAGCCCUCUAAUCAACGAUUUCCAAUCUUCCCACCGGUGGCAAAACUCCCAGAGGGCACAGCUUCGAGAUUCAGUUUUUCCACCUUUAAAACGGAGACGAAUGUGACCUUGCAGGAUUUUGAGAGGGUGAGGAUUUCUGUAAAGUGCCAGUGAGGUGUGCAAGCCCCGUCCCUGUGUAAGUGUAGCUGCCAACCCUCAUCAAAGAAGGUUCUCUUUACACCUAACAGAAACCGUCCCAGAAGACAGUUCAAUACAAUGCAAGAUCACCAGAUCCCAACAGAUACAUCUGCAUCACAGCUCCUGCAUCCACGGCCGAGGGAACUUGGAGGAAGUAGACAUGGAAAGAUUGUAAGAGCCGGUAUACCAAGAAGUCUGCCGUGAGCAUCUCUCCUGGAAAUGGCUGUAUAAACUAGACUGAAGCAGUGGCAUAUCUAAUGGACAUGCUAACGUGGAAGGGAGAGGUUUUCUUGGGGUUCCACCCCUAGACAAAGACCUACAGGCCACUAGUGGCUGCCGGGAGAGAGAGUUAGCUACUCCCAGAGAUGGGCCCCUUUAUUUGUUGCACAAUGCAGAGUGGUCAGCCUUGAAACCAUAUACAGCAGCAAAAGGAACAGGCUUAGCAGGUUGUAUUUACAUAUAAUUGUGAAUACACAUACAUACUAAUCUAUAUAUGUAUGUGAAAAUAAUUUUUAAAGAAGGGUACUUAACUUGAGCACUGGGGCUUGAGAGGGACUGGAGGACAGAGAUCUGGCAGGGGCUGGAAGAAAGUGAGGGGAGCGAUGUAAUUCUAUUGUUAAAAUGAAUUUUUUUAAGUGCCUGUAAGGGGCUGGAGACAUGGCUCAGCAGUUAAGAAUGCUGAAUUCUCCUGCAGAUGACUAGGUUCCAUUCUGAACACUCACAUGCCAGCUCACAACCAUCCAUCUGUAACUCCACAUCCAGGGAUCUGACCCUUCUGACCUCAGUGGCUCCCAGAUGCCCAAAGUACACACACAUACACAUACAAAUAGAAUAGGUAUAUAAUUAAGAGUGCCUGCAGACACCUAGAAAUGGCAGCUGUGAAGAAGGACAUGUAAUUUUCACUAAAUGUCAGGAUGAAAAGUUUAUCAAGAUUCUGUUACAGGUUUUCAGGGUCAAAGCCUGGGUGAUGAAAGUCUAAACUUGACUGUUUAUGCACAGUAUGUUUGUGCUGUGCCCCGUAUGUCAAUUAAAGAUACAAGCAAUAAUAAAAAUCAA
ensembl:processed_transcript